AAAAACAUGGCUCUUUGACACUUAUAUAUAAAGAGUCGGACCUGCCCGGUGAAUAACUUUUUAACGGCCGCGGUAUUUUGACUGUGCUAAGGUAGCAUAAUCACUUGCCCUAUAAUUGGGGGCUGGUAUGAACGGUUUGACGUAAGCGAAACUGUCUCUAUAUUGAUUUUUUAGAAUUUGGUCUUUAGGUGAAGAAACCUAAAUUCUAUUAAAAGACAAGAAGACCCUAUUGAGCUUCAAAAGAGUAAUUGGAUUAGAAGUUAUUUGUUAAUAGACUCCUCCUUUUAAAAUUUUAGUUGGGGUGACUGAGGAACAAUUAAAGCUUCCUUUAGUUAUCAAGUUCCACAAAUAUUGAUCCAAAUGUUUUGACUUAAGAAACUAGCUACCGUAGGGAUAACAGCAUAAUUCUUUUUGAGAGCUCUUAUCGAAAAGAGAGUUUGUGACCUCGAUGUUGGACUAAAAUUUCCUAAAGAUGUAGCAGUCUUUAAGGGUUGGUCUGUUCGACCAUUAAAAUUUUACGUGAUCUG
rnacentral:rRNA from 1 species